UAGUGAGGUGAACCAUCCCUUUGCCCACCGCGUUGAUAUACAGUCUGCCUGAAAUUAUUUAUCAACUCUGAAUACAUUAUAAGGUGAAGCAUGAUUAAUCCCUUGAUAUAAAUUUACAAAUCAGUAAGGAUAUAUCUAUGAAAAUCAGAACAACAGUUUGCUGUGACAAAGCAUCUGACCUGAUCCUCUAAAAUAGAUUCGAAUGGUCUGAAAAAAUAAUUCAAUCAAAAAAAAAAAGUUCGUCACAGAUUUCGAAGACAUCAUCUGUCAAAUACUGUAAUCAAUGAAAAACAUUUUGACGUGCAGCCUAAAUGCAACUGGUUCAUCCUUCUCCACCUCUGUGUCCUCAGGCCAUACAACUACAGUUUGUUUCCAAUGCGUUAAAGCAUUUUGUGGACUAGUUGACAAUUCUGACUCAUCAGGAAACAUGACGGAAAACCAAAUACAGACUCCCUGGUAUCUACCAUCCCGACUACAUGGUACAACUAUGUCCUCAGCUCCCAGAAAUUCCAGUUCUGAAGAUGUCACACUACCCAGGUCUAGCCAAACAAGCAUUGUUCCAUCCGAAACCACAUCACUGGCUUCUAUUGCAUAAACUUUGGAAGCCCCAGCUUGAGCACAAAACACUGAGAGAAUGCCUAAAUGACAAAAAAAUAUCUGUCAGUGAAGAUGUACUAGAUCUGAUUGGAUCUUGAAUAUUUUUAACAAACACUAUCUACAGUUAGAAUAGUAGACAAUGUCAGUGGGCUCUAACUAUAAUACAACGUCCAACUAUUGGUUCAAAUUUGCAUCAAGGUAAAACUGUAAUGUACCUGUACCAGCUCCUACAUCCAUUACAAUUUUAUUUUGGAAUUUUUCCCGACAAGCAAAUAUCGCAUUUUUGUAAGCAAUAGUCCGUGGUCUGUCCUCAAGCAUCAGUUGAUGAACCUGUAAAAAUCUUGCGUAAGUUCUUCUAUAAUAUUCAUCAUUAUGAUUAAUUUACCUCCAGAUCCUCGUAACUCUUGAAAUAUCCAUCUGUUGAAUCCCCCAUGCUCAUCGACAAUUUGUACUAUUUUUUCAGUCAGUUACACUAAAAACACGUGUUCGUAGUCGGUUUUUGGUUAUAACAGUCAUAAUUUUGUCAUGAUUGAAUGUGGGAUGAUAGCAUUGACUGCGGUCGGUAUGCACCCCUAACAGGUGCUGCUAGUUCAAAAAACUGGUUGACGGGUCCAGUGAGAGGGCGUAAGCUUGCGGGACC
rnacentral:misc_RNA from 1 species